rnacentral:lncRNA from 1 species
GAGUUUUGACGACCAUGGAAUCUUACAACUGUUCUCACCCACAGAAUGUACCGCUAUCUUUAUCGUGUACUCCAUCUGUAAAACAAUAGUUUUCUGCGCAAAAAUUAAUAAAUGUUAAAUCUCCGUUAAAAUACCAAUUAAGAGGAAUCAGUAGAGAGCAUGACGGAAAAACCUUAGAGAUUAGAUGACUAACUUCCAGGAGUCAAGAGAACAACCCAUUGCGUUUCUUAAGUUGGUAGGGCCACACGGUUUUACAUGGUAGGUAAGCCUACAUGUAAACUCCAAAACAUGCAAUUUAAAUAGAGUAAAUGAUGGUAGCACAUUAUAUGGUGGAAAAAUAAGUAUAAAUAUUAAAUUACUUAUAACGGUACUCGAGCUAAUUACGUGCACAUGUAACUCCAUGAAAGACAUCUUUGCGUAAUUCUGACUACCAUGCUUGACCCGUUGACUUUGAACCCUGUGGUCACAUCUUAAAUCAGUUCUUAUUUCAUUCAAAUAUGUGCGUUAUAAACAGAUUGACAUCCAAGCAUCGUGAUUAAUCAACAGAGUUUCUUAAUUCAAGGUCAUUGAGUAGUGAAUGUCCAUAGUACCAACAAAAUGUUAGGGAUAAACAAAAUCAAAUCACUGUGAGAUUGAUCAAAGAGGGCCAUUAAUUCAUGUUUAGUGAUUGCAAAGCAGCAGAAGAGUUGGUAGAAACAACUUAAAAUGGACUGCCACCAGCACAUAAAAAUUCCACAGAUGGUAGUCAGGAUCAAAGCUAAAAGAUUCGAUCAUAUGUAGACUGCAGCAAACAUUUGUGAUUUAUUAACUAUUAAAAUAUAGUUAUACUAAAAGAACAAAAUUUCUGUUCCAAUUUAGAGACAUAAUAAUUAUAAUUAACUACCUAGGUUUGCAACAAAAGCUACGUGAGAGCUGAGCCUUCCCUAAGACUGGAGCCUCGCAUGCAGAGGAGACACGUACAGAAGUUAAUCAGAUCUAGGGUAGUAAUGCACAGGAAGGUCUACAUAGACCAAUUAGCUGGGCAUGCUAUGGAUAGAUGGAGGGGCUCGGUGGUGAGUACCUUGGUCAGGAGCAUUGCCAACGCUUGGUAGGAGAACCGAGCCAUCAUGGUCAAACCUUCGCAGUGAGGAGAUUGGACGGAGCAGCACAACACAUAUGAUACCGGAAGAAGAGGGCGUUUGCUGCUAGGAAACGCGAGUGCAUGGGGUUGACCUAGGCGAUCUAAGUAUGGUUAGAUUGGAAAGACCCAGGAUGUUUAAAGAACAUAAAGGUAGAUCUGAUAGACGCCGUAUGAUGUUAGCUUUCCAUCAUUAAACUGAG